AGGGAACGUGUCCCUGAGCGCUGGCGGCGUCGGGGCCGGAAGUGCGGAGAGCGAGGCGGGGAGGCGAUGGAGCAGCAGCAGCAGGCCGUCGAGGCGCACAACGUCAGCGGGCCUGUCUCCGCCGCCGCCGCGGAUGGCUCUUCCUCGGCCGGGGCUCGGCCCCCUGCCACCGCGGAGGGCAUGGCGCUGGCCUACGGGAGCCUGGUGGUGAUGGCGCUGCUGCCCAUCUUCUUCGGGGCGCUGCGCUCCGUCGCCUGCGCCAAAGGGAAGAAUGCUUCGGACAUGCCAGAGACGAUUACUAGCCGAGAUGCUGCUCGCUUUCCUAUUGUUGCUAGCUGCACCCUCCUAGGACUUUACCUCUUCUUCAAAAUUUUCUCUCAAGAAUAUAUCAACCUGCUUCUCUCCAUGUAUUUCUUUGUCCUUGGGAUCCUUGCCCUCUCCCACACCAUAAGCCCCAUGAUGAACCAGUUCUUCCCAGCCAAUUUCCCCAACAAACAGUACCAGCUCCUCUUCACUCAGGGCUCGGGGGAAACAAAGGAAGAGAUUGUGAACUAUGAAUUUGACACCAAGGACCUGGUGUGCCUGGCCAUGAGCAGCGUGGUUGGAGUCUGGUACUUGCUGAGGAAGCAUUGGAUUGCCAACAACCUCUUUGGAUUGGCCUUCUCUCUCAAUGGUGUGGAGCUGCUCCACUUGAACAACGUCAGCACUGGCUGUAUCCUCCUUGGUGGCCUCUUCAUCUAUGACAUCUUUUGGGUCUUUGGUACCAAUGUGAUGGUGACGGUUGCGAAAUCAUUUGAAGCCCCCAUCAAAUUGGUUUUCCCUCAAGAUUUGCUAGAGAAAGGUUUGGAGGCUGACAACUUUGCCAUGCUGGGUCUGGGGGACAUUGUUAUCCCAGGAAUCUUCAUUGCUUUGCUGCUGCGCUUUGAUAUCAGCCUCAAGAAGAACACGCACACGUACUUCUACACCAGCUUUGUGGCUUAUAUUUUUGGUCUCGGCCUCACUAUCUUCAUCAUGCAUGUCUUCAAACAUGCCCAGCCAGCUCUGCUGUACCUAGUCCCAGCUUGCAUCGGCUUCCCUCUCCUUGUGGCUCUGGUGAAGGGAGAAGUGGCAGAAAUGUUCAGCUAUGAAUCUUCUACCGAAAUCUUGCCCCAUACCCCUCGGCUCACCCAUUUCCCUAGCGUCUCCGGGUCUCCGUCCAGCCUCGCUGAUUCCAUGCAGCAGACAUUCUCCUGUUCCCACAGACGCCGGCAGCAAAAUCCCAGCACCAUGUAGCCCUCUUGGGCAAGGCCCUGCCUGCCUUGCUGGCCCAUCCGCCUGUAUGUCUCUGGCCAGCUACGAGGAGAACACCACUCCCAAGGAGGUGCCGGCGGAGGCCAAAGAAGGGAAGACGGAGCUGGACAAGAAGGAGAAGUGAUGUUGGAGUGCUCAGCCGGGCUGGGCAUCGUCUGCUUCACCCCCUUCCCCAUUGCAAGUGUUUUUCGUUUUUCAAGAGGCAACUGGAUCAUGUAACGGCCAUGUGUGUUUGUUCGUGUACGCGUCUGUCCGAACUGUGGUUGAGGGGGAGGGAGAGGAGGCAGCAAUGGCAGCAGCGGGGGUCCUUUUUGACCCUCUCAGCCUGUAUGAGCAAGUCCUCUUCCUCCUCCUCUUUUGGGGGGGGCACAGUGGCAAAGUGGUUCCACCCCCUCUUUCCCCCAAAAUGCCUUUGUGAGCCCCUUCCCCAGUUUUUAUUCAUUGUCUUGGUGGGAUGAAGGAAAUGCAGAGGGUGGAACAGGGAGGGUUGCUGGGGGCUGAUUUUUAAAUUUUGUAUCGUGGAUUUGCUUCUUCUCAUAUUAAAUAAAAACAGAUUAUUGAAGGACCA